CCUACGGGGGGCUGCAGUGGGGAAUAUUGCACAAUGGGGGAAACCCUGAUGCAGCAACGCCGCGUGAGUGAUGAAGGUCUUCGGAUUGUAAAACUCUGUCUUUGGGGACGAUAAUGACGGUACCCAAGGAGGAAGCCACGGCUAACUACGUGCCAGCAGCCGCGGUAAUACGUAGGUGGCAAGCGUUGUCCGGAUUUACUGGGCGUAAAGGGAGCGUAGGCGGACUUUUAAGUGGGAUGUGAAAUACUCGGGCUUAACCUGAGUCGUGCAUUCCAAACUGGAAGUCUAGAGUGCAGGAGGGGAAAGUGGAAUUCAUAGUGUAGCGGUGAAAUGCGUAGAGAUUAGGAAGAACACCAGUGGCGAAGGCGACUUUCUGGACUGUAACUGACGCUGAGGCUCGAAAGCGUGGGGAGCAAACAGGAUUAGAUACCCUUGUAGUC
rnacentral:rRNA from 1 species